UGGGGAAUAUUGGACAAUGGGCGAAAGCCUGAUCCAGCCAUGCCGCGUGUGUGAAGAAGGUCUUCGGAUUGUAAAGCACUUUAAGUUGGGAGGAAGGGCAUUAACCUAAUACGUUAGUGUUUUGACGUUACCGACAGAAUAAGCACCGGCUAACUCUGUGCCAGCAGCCGCGGUAAUACAGAGGGUGCAAGCGUUAAUCGGAAUUACUGGGCGUAAAUCGCGCGUAGGUGGUUUGUUAAGUUGGAUGUGAAAUCCCCGGGCUCAACCUGGGAACUGCAUUCAAAACUGACUGACUAGAGUAUGGUAGAGGGUGGUGGAAUUUCCUGUGUAGCGGUGAAAUGCGUAGAUAUAGGAAGGAACACCAGUGGCGAAUGCGACCACCUGGACUAAUACUGACACUGAGGUGCGAAAGCGUGGGGAGCAAACA
rnacentral:rRNA from 1 species